GGUAAAAUGUCCGAGUAUAGGUAAUAAAUUGUAAAUUUAUUAAGGAGGUUAUUUCUCUUUUACCA
rnacentral:tRNA from 1 species